CCUACGGGUGGCUGCAGUGGGGAAUAUUGGACAAUGGGCGAAAGCCUGAUCCAGCCAUGCCGCGUGUGUGAAGAAUGCCUUCGGGUUGUAAAGCACUUUCAGUGGGGAAGAAAGCCUUGGGGCUAAUACCCUCGAGGAAGGACAUCACCCACAGAAGAAGCACCGGCUAACUCCGUGCCAGCAGCCGCGGUAAUACGGAGGGUGCGAGCGUUAAUCGGAAUUACUGGGCGUAAAGCGCGCGUAGGCGGUCUGAUAAGCCGGUUGUGAAAGCCCCGGGCUCAACCUGGGAACGGCAUCCGGAACUGUCAGGCUAGAGUGCAGGAGAGGAAGGUAGAAUUCCCGGUGUAGCGGUGAAAUGCGUAGAGAUCGGGAGGAAUACCAGUGGCGAAGGCGGCCUUCUGGACUGACACUGACGCUGAGGUGCGAAAGCGUGGGUAGCAAACAGGAUUAGAUACCCGAUAGUC
rnacentral:rRNA from 1 species